rnacentral:rRNA from 1 species
UACAGAGGUCCCAAGCGUUGUUCGGAUUCACUGGGCGUAAAGGGUGCGUAGGCGGCCGGGUAAGUCUGAUGUGAAAUCCCGCAGCUUAACUGCGGGAACUGCAUCGGAUACUCUCCGGCUAGAGGAAUGGAGGGGAGACUGGAAUUCUCGGUGUAGCAGUGAAAUGCGUAGAUAUCGAGAGGAACACCAGUGGCGAAGGCGAGUCUCUGGACAUUUCCUAACGCUGAGGCACGAAAGCCAGGGGGAGCAAACGGGG